rnacentral:rRNA from 1 species
UACGGGGGGAGCAAGCGUUGUUCGGAUUUACUGGGCGUAAAGGGCGCGUAGGCGGCCAGCACAAGUCAGUUGUGAAAUCUCCGAGCUUAACUCGGAAAGGUCAACUGAUACUGUGCGGCUAGAGUGCAGAAGGGGCAACUGGAAUUCUUGGUGUAGCGGUGAAAUGCGUAGAUAUCAAGAGGAACACCUGCGGCGAAGGCGGGUUGCUGGCUGACACUGACGCUGAAGCGCGAAAGCCAGGGGAGCGAACGGG